AUUGAACGCUGGCGGCAUGCCUUACACAUGCAAGUCGAACGGUAACAGGUCUUCGGAUGCUGACGAGUGGCGAACGGGUGAGUAAUGCAUCGGAACGUGCCCAGUUGUGGGGGAUAACUGCUCGAAAGAGCAGCUAAUACCGCAUACGACCUGAGGGUGAAAGCGGGGGAUCGCAAGACCUCGCGCAAUUGGAGCGGCCGAUGUCAGAUUAGGUAGUUGGUGGGGUAAAGGCCUACCAAGCCGACGAUCUGUAGUUGGUCUGAGAGGACGACCAGCCACACUGGGACUGAGACACGGCCCAGACUCCUACGGGAGGCAGCAGUGGGGAAUCUUGGACAAUGGGCGCAAGCCUGAUCCAGCAAUGCCGCGUGCAGGAAGAAGGCCUUCGGGUUGUAAACUGCUUUUGUACGGAACGAAACGGCUCUGGUUAAUACCUGGGGCUAAUGACGGUACCGUAAGAAUAAGCACCGGCUAACUACGUGCCAGCAGCCGCGGUAACAC
rnacentral:rRNA from 1 species